rnacentral:rRNA from 1 species
GUAACAAGGUCUCCGUAGGUGAACCUGCGGAGGGAUCAUUACACAAAUAUGAAGGCGGGCUGGAACCUCUCGGGGUUACAGCCUUGCUGAAUUAUUCACCCUUGUCUUUUGCGUACUUCUUGUUUCCUUGGUGGGUUCGCCCACCACUAGGACAAACAUAAACCUUUUGUAAUUGCAAUCAGCGUCAGUAACAAAUUAAUAAUUACAACUUUCAACAACGGAUCUCUUGGUUCUGGCAUCGAUGAAGAACGCAGCGAAAUGCGAUAAGUAGUGUGAAUUGCAGAAUUCAGUGAAUCAUCGAAUCUUUGAACGCACAUUGCGCCCUUUGGUAUUCCAAAGGGCAUGCCUGUUCGAGCGUCAUUUGUACCCUCAAGCUUUGCUUGGUGUUGGGCGUCUUGUCUCUAGCUUUGCUGGAGACUCGCCUUAAAGUAAUUGGCAGCCGGCCUACUGGUUUCGGAGCGCAGCACAAGUCGCACUCUCUAUCAGCAAAGGUCUAGCAUCCAUUAAGCCUUUUUUUCAACUUUUGACCUCGGAUCAG